CUCGUAGGCGGUUCGUCGCGUCCGGUGUGAAAGUCCAUCGCUUAACGGUGGAUCCGCGCCGGGUACGGGCGGGCUUGAGUGCGGUAGGGGAGACUGGAAUUCCCGGUGUAACGGUGGAAUGUAUAGAUAUCGGGAAGAACACCAAUGGCGAAGGCAGGUCUCUGGGCCGUCACUGACGCUGAGGAGCGAAAGCGUGGGGAGCGAACA
rnacentral:rRNA from 1 species